rnacentral:rRNA from 1 species
CCUACGGGGGGCUGCAGUGGGGAAUAUUGGACAAUGGGGGGAACCCUGAUCCAGCCAUGCCGCGUGUGUGAAGAAGGCCCUCGGGUUGUAAAGCACUUUCAGUGAGGAAGAACGCCUGGUGGUUAAUACCCACCAGGAAAGACAUCACUCACAGAAGAAGCACCGGCUAACUCCGUGCCAGCAGCCGCGGUAAUACGGAGGGUGCGAGCGUUAAUCGGAAUUACUGGGCGUAAAGCGCGCGUAGGUGGCUUGAUAAGCCGGUUGUGAAAGCCCCGGGCUCAACCUGGGAACGGCAUCCGGAACUGUCAAGCUAGAGUGCAGGAGAGGAAGGUAGAAUUCCCGGUGUAGCGGUGAAAUGCGUAGAGAUCGGGAGGAAUACCAGUGGCGAAGGCGGCCUUCUCGACUGACACUGACACUGAGGUGCGAAAGCGUGGGUAGCAAACAGGAUUAGAUACCCGAGUAGUC